ensembl:lncRNA
CCCUCUAUGUCUGAAGAUUAGCCCCGUGUGAAAAAUGGAUCCGCCCUGAACCUGGAUGAGCCCCUCAGGGAGAGGGUGGUCACAGCAGACCCCUUGGAGAAGCCGCUGAAGCGCCUGGUGCCCGCCUUCCGGGCCAGCGACCUCUCCUAUGUCACCAGCUUCCUGUGCGCCUACUGAGCCUUCACCCCGCCCAGCAGGUCCUGGAGCUGCUGUUCAAGAGUGCUGUCUCCUCCAUCCUGGGCACCUGGCUGAACCAGUACUCAGAGGACUUCUGUCAGCCCCCCGACUUCCCCUGCCUCAGGCAGCUGGUGGCCUACGUACAGCUCAACAUGCCCGGCUCCUGGCCCAGCUAGAGCACGCGGACCUCGACGAGGCAGAGCCGGAGGGUGAGGAGGGCGGGGUGGGCGCUGGACUCAAGCAGGUGCCCCCACGGCAGAGCCAGAGGGUGAGGAGGUCGGGGUGCGUGCUAGACUCGGGGGAACCCCCAUGGCAGAGCCAGAGGGUGAGGAGGUCAGGGUGGGCGCUGGACUCAGGGGGGCGCCCCCACGGCAGCUGUCGGACGGGGAGCAGAGACUGGCCUCAGACCACCUGUGUGGGGACUGCCGUCGGGGACAACGUCGUGUUGUGGGUUUGGGGGCUGAGGCUUCUCCAGAAACCUCUGGGAUGUGGUCCUGUCUUUGGAAAGGCAGGCGUGUGGGUGGUCUCUGCUCCUCUGCAGCUCCAGCGUCAGCUCCAUCCGGAAUCAGAGGUGACAGGAGCCAGGUGCAGGGGCAGAAAGGUCAAGGCAGCCCCAGAGCCUGCGUCCGCCUUCAGCUCGAGCGCUCCCCCUACUGGCGGCUCCAGAGCGGCUCCGACACCAGCACCGGUUCCAUUAGCAGCUCCGAACGAGAAGAGGAGGCCGCUCAGGUCCUCCCCGGGACCCGCCCCCGGGGCCAGCUCCCAGCCCACACCUUCCACCUGCUUCCCAAACAGGACUUUUCUUCCCCGCUCCCCCGUGAUGGGGCUUUUUGUCUUCAGUUCAGUUCAGUGGCUCAGUCGUGUCCGACUCUUUGCGACCCCGUGGACUGCAGCAGGCCAGGCCUCCCUGUCCAUCACCAACUCCCGGAGUUUACCCAAACUCUUGUUCACUGAGUCGGUGAUGCCAUCCAAGCAUCUCAUCCUCUGUCGUCCCCUUCUCCCGCCUUCAGUCUUUCCCAGCAUCAGGGUCUUUUCCAGUGAGUCAGCUCUUUGCAUCUUUUUGUCUUGGGGCUUCUUUUUUUUCCUCUCUACACUCUUAUAUUAGAUGAUUUAGAAUAUUCAAAUAUAAUAGUAUUUCAGCCGUCAUCAUUUUGAGUCGUACAGUUCAUGAGCAUUAAGUACCUUCAUGAUGCUGUAUGGCUGCCACUGCUCUCUCGGUGGAGAACAUCUCACCCCCCGAAAGGGAACCCUGUGCCCAAAGCGCUCACUCUCCUUUCCUCCUUCCUCCAGCCCCUGGCCACACCUAAUCUGUUUCUUUACCUAUUCUAGAUAUUUCCUAUCAAUGGAAUCAUAUAGUAAAUGUCUUUUUGUGUCUUCCUGCAUCUUUGAAGAAAGACUAAUUUUUGGUUUAUGUCGUUAUUUGAAAAAAAAAAAAAGCACAUUUGAUUUGCAAGGGAAAUCCCAGAUGGAUUAAAGCACUGUUAGUAAAUUUGUGCAUAACUUCAGGGUAGAGAUCCCUGUACUGAGUGUGACACCAGAGUUAGAAGUCAUAAGGAAAACGGCUGACUGUUCCUGUGGCAAAAACAAACCAAAAAAAAAAAUGCAGAAAGUGGAAAGAUAAAUCACAAAUGCUAUCUGCUUAGUCGCUCAGGCAUGUCCAACUCUUUGUGACCUCGUGGACUGUAGCCCACCAGGCUCCUCUGUCCACGGGAUUCUCCAGGCAAGAAGAGUGGAGUGAGUUGCCAUGCCCUCCUCCAGGGGCAUCUUCCCAACCCAGGGAUCCAACCCAGGGCUCCCGCAUUUCGGGUGGAUUCUUUACCAUCUGAGCCACCAGGGAAGCCCCCAUGUCCCAGGGAAAUGCUUAACACCUC